GUCUACGAUCUUUUCACCUUGCUCCAAUCUCUCAAUUAUUUUCACUUUUGCUUCCACAGUUACUGCUCUGCGCCUCCCAGCGCUCCCUUCCAGGUCACCACUGCUCUGCCUCUCGCUCCUGGACAUCCGGGCUCUGAGUGACGCUGUGCACUGUGCGCUACCGCACUGUGCAGUGAGCAUGCAGCGGCCCAGGGGGGACAAUGUCCAGCAGACACGGGAGCUACUUCUGCGAUUUGUUCUCACCUACGAAUGUUCAUCAUACUCAAAGUGAUACACCUCCCCAUGAUGGAAACGCGUGAUGCCUAUCGAGGACCUUUAGACAGCCCUUCUGAAAGGUCUCCCUGACUGCCGACCACAACUACAACCCCCUUCAGCCUGAAGUAGCUCGAGCGGUCAUCACUGCCCCCUCACGGCAGUUCGGGAUACUUCUUCAGAGGGGGAAUAUUACAGACAGUCAGAUAGGGCUAAGUCCUGGAGAAGGCCAGGACAAAGG
rnacentral:lncRNA from 1 species